rnacentral:rRNA from 1 species
CUACGUGCCAGCAGCCGCGGUAAUACGUAGGUGGCGAGCGUUGUCCGGAAUCAUUGGGCGUAAAGGGAGCGCAGGCGGGCCGGUAAGUCUUACUUAAAAGUGCGGGGCUCAACCCCGUGAUGGGAGAGAAACUAUCGGUCUUGAGUACAGGAGAGGAAAGCGGAAUUCCCAGUGUAGCGGUGAAAUGCGUAGAUAUUGGGAAGAACACCAGUGGCGAAGGCGGCUUUCUGGACUGCAACUGACGCUGAGGCUCGAAAGCCAGGGGAGCGAACGGGAUUAGAUACCCCGGUAGUCCUGGCCGUAAACGAUGGAUACUAGGUGUGGGAGGUAUCGACCCCUACCGUGCCGGAGUUAACGCAAUAAGUAUCCCGCCUGGGGAGUACGGCCGCAAGGCUGAAACUCAAAGGAAUUGACGGGGGCCCGCACAAGCGGUGGAGUAUGUGGUUUAAUUCGACGCAACGCGAAGAACCUUACCAGGUCUUGACAU